rnacentral:misc_RNA from 1 species
AAGUCGUAACAAGGUUUCCGUAGGUGAACCUGCGGAAGGAUCAUCACGAGAGGACGCCGCAAGGCGCACCACAACACUGUGUUGCCGAGCGAUGAGUGCAGUCAGCGCGAGCGCGCAGCGCGAACGCUGCUGCACACGUCUAUUGACACCAUGCAAACUGAACUAGCUAAACAGCAACCAACAACAAACACAACUGUUAGCAACGGAUCACUUGGUUCUC